CUCUAUUUCUUUUCCUAUUAUUUUCAGUGCAACAGAAGACAAGUAAACCUGAUCCUACACACUCCUGGCUCUUGUCAUUUCCUGCCCUAACCACUCAAUAUUUUGUCUGUGUGGAUCUUUUGUAAAAAUUAUCUUUUCUUCCUCUUCUCCUUACAUCAGUGACAUGUUCUGUUGGAAUUCAUUGGACAUGGAUACUGACAUUGUAUACCUAUUUGUUUAACUAAUAAAAUGAAAUACAAUGGUAA